UGGUUUUGAUGGUGAAACUGAUGACUUGAUGGAUGAUAAAUACAAGAAGCUCCGCUGUGAGAUUACUCCACUUUCUCAUGAUAGUGAAGAUUAUCAGUUGAUUGAGAAAUACCUCCUUGCUACUCAUGUCCCUACACACUAGGAUUGGAGUCCCGAAGAAGUUUUUUCACUUGAAAAGAAAGGGGAGCAUGAUAAAUUUGCUCCUUACAGACGAUAGCUUAACAAUAGAAUGCUUCUUUGGCAUGGUUCUCGGCUCACAAACUUUGUGGGCAUGCUUAGCCAGGGACUGAGAAUAGCUCCUCCUGAAGCUCCAGCUACUGGUUACAUGGUGCUCUCUCUGUUUCUGUCUCAGUGUGUCCUGCAGGUGCACAUGCAUGCAUUUGUUGGGUGUGCAUACUCAUGAACCGUUGGAUACGUGAAAUGCAUCCACUUUUUGUAAGACUCAAAGUUCAAUAUUUUAAACUACAGUUUGGCAAGGGGAUUUUAGUUUGCUUAUAUUGCAAAUAAGAGUGCUCAGUAUUGCUAUACCGACAAGAGAAAUCCCCUGGGCCUCAUGCUUCUCAGCGAAGUUGCCCUUGGGGAGGUCUAUGAACUCAAUAAGGUCAAGCGUAUGAAUAAACCUCCUGAAGGAAAGCACUCCAGAAAAGGACUUGCCAAGAAGAAACCUAAUCAAAGAAGAAGCCUAAGGAGCCUGAAUGUGUAAAAUGGAGGGAUAAUGUUGUAGUUCCUUGUGGGAAACUGGUACCAUCCCGUGUCAAGGCAUCCGAACUGAUGUAUAAUGUGUACAUUGUCUACGGUACAGCUCAAGUUAAGAUGCAAUUCUUGUUGAAGGUGAGGUUUCAUCACAAGAGGUAAGGAGGAAAGCUAGGAAUACUCAAUGACAAGGUCAUUGUACUAAUUGGAUGAUUCAGUAAUGAGGUCACUGUACAUAUAUAUGGUGGUGGUGGUUGUGGAUUUGUGAAUUCUUGAAUUGACAUGGUAUUUAUCUUUUUGAUUUCACAACUCUGCACGGUCAUUGUAUAUACCUUAGUCUUUUUUGUUGUAAAAUUUCUAUCCCGUUAAUUUUAAGUCCCUAUUAGA